rnacentral:lncRNA from 1 species
CAACUUCCCAGACCCCGAUUCUGUGUUUCCCCUCCAAUUCCCCUGCUCCCCCUCCUCCCAGAAAUGGAGGAAACUGCGAGGCCAUGGUGAUGCUGCCUUGUUUAGUAAAAGAAAAUGUGAAAAAGAUUAAGGCGGAUCAAUCAAAAUGUCAGCCUGAUCUUGAACUGUUGGAAAAGAAGCCUUGUUUUUAUUCAAGUGUGUCACAAAGACCUGGGUGACCUUGUUUUGCAAGUGAAAACCUUUGACUGUGACAUAGGCAUGCUUCUUGUGUCCAGCUCUUAUUUAGCAAAUAAACUAAAAGUACUGCCUAUGUUUAUGGUAAACAACUGAUUUGGUUCUACUAAAAAAAAAUAAUAAAAAAACAAUUACAGCUGGAUAAUGUAGAACCAGAUUAGGUUUCUUUUAUAUUUGUUGUCACCAAAUGCUCCCAAUCUUUCUGAGCUCUGAGGCUCGUUAAGUAGAUGUUUUAAAAUGGUGCAACAGACAACGCAGCUGUAUUUCAUUUGUAGAUAAUUGAUGCAAUACAUGUAAUAACCCAACUGGAUAUGUUGACUCAUGAGCUAAUUUAGGUGUAGAUGUUACAGCACUUGUGCAGCUGGAAAUGUUGCCAUCACACAAAUCAGUUGCAGAUUAAUGGAGUCAGGUCCCUGUCUGCACUAGGAAGAGAUAAAAGGACACAGUCAAAUAUAAAAACAAGUUCUGAAGAGUUAUUGUUACCUGCACCCCUUGCCUCCUUUGCCUUAUCUUUGAAAAAAGGUGACCAGGUGAAGCACAAGAUGAAGCACAAGAAUGGAGAUUUUAAGGAGCACUCCAGAGAGGUCAAAAGGGUGGGUAACACUAUGAGUUAUAGAUAUGCAGCAACUGGCCUUAACCUGAAACCAUGUUAGGAUGACUGGUGUGUGUAGAAUCACAUCAGUUCCAGAACAUGGAGUUCAACUCCAUGAUGCUUCAAAGCAAUGGUUUCUAUUUCAAUGCAAAUUUGACAAAGAUAGAUGUUAAUCACACUCCUUAACGAAGAACCAGAGGCAUAAAAGUGAGUAGUGUGGCAUAUGAAUCCC